GCCAGCAACCAUAUCAUCCUGCAACUCAGAACUAACAACCCACUGGAACUAAGCAGGUGUGAGCCUGCUCAGUACCUGGAUGGGAAACCUCCUGGGGAAAAAACUCAGGUUGCUGCUGAAA
rnacentral:rRNA from 1 species